rnacentral:pre_miRNA from 1 species
UUUGGCAAUGGUAGAACUCACACUGGUGAGAUAAUGGAAUCCGGUGGUUCUAGACUUGCCAACUA